UGAAAGUGAUGAUCCUGAGUUCAAACAGGAGAUGGAGAAGCAGUUUCUGGGAAGUUUCAGAAGAGCAUAGUCACUCAUCAUAUGGAUUUUACAUUGGCCGAAGCUAAAAGGGUUGCUUUACAGUACCAAAAGGAGGCUGACAAGUGUAGAGAGCUCAAGCAUUGUUGCUCAAAGAGGGGAAGGUCACUUCUUUGUGGGAGCGGAGGGCUCGACAUUUAGGUUGGAAAGAUUAUGGAAGUGAUGAUCCUGAGUUCAAACAGGAGAUGGAGAAGCAGUUUCUGGGAAGUUUCAGAAGAGCAUAGUCACUCAUCACAUGGAUUUUACAUUGGCCGAAGCUAAAAGGGUUGCUUCACAUUGGGCGUUAUAUACUUCCUCAUUCAUAAUAAGUCAAUAUAAUGCGUAUUGGUUUGGUCUACUAACAAGUGUGUACAGUUAGCUGAUGGAUAUCAGAUGCCUCUCCAACUUAAACCGAACCCAGAAGAUCAUCACCAUGUUGACUACGGUCGUCAUCAACAAGUACAUGAACACUCUCAGCAAGCUUUCUUCCAGCCUUUGGAAUGCGAACCCAUUCUUCAAAUUAAAUGGGGUAUCAGGGGCAGCACGAUCAUGGAAUGGGAGCUGGACCAAGUGUGAAUAAUUACAUGCUGGGUUGGUUACCUUAUGACACCAACUCAAUUUGAAAUUUUCUUCCUUUUUCUGUUCACUUUUUGACAUUUUUAUUUUAAAACUUUCUUCUAUUCUCUUAGGCUUCCAUUAUGUCAAGAAAAAAAAUCAUAU